UACGUAGGUGGCAAGCGUUGUCCGGAUUUACUGGGCGUAAAGUGUGCGCAGGCGGCCGCGCAAGUCGAGUGUGAAAGCCCCGGGCUCAACCUGGGAAUUGCAUUUGUGACUGCACGGCUAGAGUGUGUCAGAGGGGGGGUAGAAUUCCACGUGUAGCAGUGAAAUGCGUAGAGAUGUGGAGGAAUACCGAUGGCGAAGGCAGCCCCCUGGGAUAACACUGACGCUCAUGCACGAAAGCGUGGGGAGCAAACAGG
rnacentral:rRNA from 1 species